rnacentral:rRNA from 1 species
ACGUAGUUGGCCGGGGCUUCUUCUGGAGGUACCGUCAAUUUCGUCCCUCCUGAAAGAGGUUUACAACCCGAAGGCCGUCUUCCCUCACGCGGCAUCGCUGCGUCAGACUUUCGUCCAUUGCGCAAUAUUCCUA